CGUUCUGUAAGCCUGUGAAGGUGUGUCGUGAGGCAUGCUGGAGGUAUCAGAAGUGCGAAUGCUGACAUAAGUAACGAUAAAGCGGGUGAAAAGCCCGCUCGCCGGAAGACCAAGGGUUCCUGUCCAACGUUAAUCGGGGCAGGGUGAGUCGACCCCUAAGGCGAGGCCGAAAGGCGUAGUCGAUGGGAAACGGGUUAAUAUUCCCGUACUUGGUGUUACUGCGAAGGGGGGACGGAGAAGGCUAUGUUGGCCGGGCGACGGUUGUCCCGGUUUAAGCGUGUAGGUGUGUGUUCCAGGUAAAUCCGGUUCACUUUAACAC
rnacentral:rRNA from 1 species